GUGGCAUCCUCUUGAGAUUGGCCUCCGGGGCGGAGGCUCCGACGGGGGAACCCCUUAGAAAGACUCGGGGGACUGGAGAUGGCGGAGAGCCGGUGGAGAUGGCAAAGACCGACGCAAAGGACAUUCGGAGUCGGAAGGGGCACCGAUGGAGCGGCUAAGUGGCUAAGUUCUCAAGCGAAAGAAGGAUGUCGGCCCUCAGGCGAAGUGAAGCCCCUGGAGGAAAGGUGGGGGCUUAAAUAGGCAACGGAGCCUGGCGCAGUUAUGGUGGCAGGUGUCCUUAGGCCAACCAGUGCCCACCGCGUGUCCCACUCACCGCGACCUAGGGUUGACCGUUCGCGGACUUUCACGGCGUGAUGCUUGGGAUCACGUCCUGGUGGGAGUUCCGAAAAGACUCUUCGGGUCGCC
rnacentral:lncRNA from 1 species